UUCGAACUCCUACGGGAGGCAGCAGUGGGGAAUAUUGCACAAUGGGCGCAAGCCUGAUGCAGCGACGCCGCGUGAGGGAUGAAGGCCUUCGGGUUGUAAACCUCUUUCGUCAGGGAACAAGGCACUACGUUUUGGUGGUGUUGAGGGUACCUGGAUAAGAAGCGCCGGCUAACUACGUGCCAGCAGCCGCGGUAAUACGUAGGGCGCAAGCGUUGUCCGGAAUUAUUGGGCGUAAAGAGCUCGUAGGCGGCUGGUGGCGUCUGUCGUGAAAACUUCCGGCUCAACCGGGGGCUUGCGGUGGGGACGGGCCGGCUAGGGUGCGGUAGGGGUAACUGGAACUCCUGGUGUAGCGGUGGAAUGCGCAGAUAUCAGGAAGAAAACCGAUGGCGAAGGCAGGUUACUGGGCCGUUACUGACGCUGAGGAGCGAAAGCGUGGGGAGCGAACAGGAUUAGAUACCCUUGUAGUCCUGAGU
rnacentral:rRNA from 1 species